rnacentral:tRNA from 1 species
CGUCCGGUGGGCUGGCCUACGACCCGGACGCCUUCGCGUGGCGCACGGGCGCACCGUGGUUCGCGGCCGCGGCGGUCGUC